CUUUGCUUCGGGAGAGCUCGUGGCGAUCUCUUUAGACGGGUUACAGGGUCAUCGAUACACCGUGCAUCAACAAAUUUCCCUUCUCCUGCGAGACCCAGACUGGUGAGCACGAUUGCUUGGCGACUGGUUGGCGACUUUGCUUCGGGAGAGUUCGUGGCGAUCUCUUCAGACGGGUUACAGGGUCAUUGAUACACCGUGCAUCAACAAAUUUCCCUUCUCCUGCGAGACCCAGACUGGUGAGCACGAUUGCUUGGCGACUGGUUGGCGACGUUGCUUCGGGAGAGUU